rnacentral:rRNA from 1 species
GAUGAACGCUGACAGAAUGCUUAACACAUGCAAGUCUUUGGCGAAGCUGUGCUUGCACAGCCUAGCCAAGGCGGACGGGUGAGUAACGCGUAAGGAACUUGCCCUGCAGUCAGGGAUAACAGACGGAAACGACUGAUAAGACCUGGUAAAGUCAGGCGGACUCAUGUCCAGCCUGAUGAAAAGAGAUGUUGCAGGAGAGCCUUGCGUCCUAUUAGCUUGUUGGUGGGGUAACGGCCCACCAAGGCGAUGAUAGGUAGCCGGCCUGAGAGGGUGGACGGCCACAAGGGGACUGAGAUACGGCCCUUACUCCUACGGGAGGCAGCAGUGGGGAAUAUUGGACAAUGGGGGCAACCCUGAUCCAGCAAUUCUGUGUGCACGAUGAAGGUUUUCGGAUUGUAAAGUGCUUUCAGCAGGGAAGAAAAAAAUGACGGUACCUGCAGAAGAAGCGACGGCUAAAUACGUG